AAGAAGUUAGUUUAAACAAAAACAUAAGUUCGUCAAAUUUAAAUUACUUUUUAGUACUUCUUU
rnacentral:tRNA from 1 species